rnacentral:rRNA from 1 species
AGUCGAACGGUAACAGGUCUUCGGAUGCUGACGAGUGGCGAACGGGUGAGUAAUACAUCGGAACGUGCCCGAUCGUGGGGGAUAACGAGGCGAAAGCUUUGCUAAUACCGCAUACGAUCUACGGAUGAAAGCGGGGGAUCUUCGGACCUCGCGCGGACGGAGCGGCCGAUGGCAGAUUAGGUAGUUGGUGGGAUAAAAGCUUACCAAGCCGACGAUCUGUAGCUGGUCUGAGAGGAUGAUCAGCCACACUGGGACUGAGACACGGCCCAGACUCCUACGGGAGGCAGCAGUGGGGAAUUUUGGACAAUGGGCGAAAGCCUGAUCCAGCCAUGCCGCGUGCAGGAUGAAGGCCUUCGGGUUGUAAACUGCUUUUGUACGGAACGAAAAGCCUCUUUCUAAUAAAGAGGGGUCAUGACGGUACCGUAAGAAUAAGCACCGGCUAACUACGUGCCAGCAGCCGCGGUAAUACGUAGGGUGCAAGCGUUAAUCGGAAUUACUGGGCGUAAAGCGUGCGCAGGCGGUUUUGUAAGACAGAGGUGAAAUCCCCGGGCUCAACCUGGGAACUGCCUUUGUGACUGCAAGGCUGGAGUGCGGCAGAGGGGGAUGGAAUUCCGCGUGUAGCAGUGAAAUGCGUAGAUAUGCGGAGGAACACCGAUGGCGAAGGCAAUCCCCUGGGCCUGCACUGACGCUCAUGCA